GCGGGAAUAGCUCAGUUGGUAGAGCGAACCUUGCCAAGGUUGAGGUCGCGAGUUCGAGUCUCGUUUCCCGCUCCA
rnacentral:tRNA from 1 species